rnacentral:rRNA from 1 species
GAUGAACGCUGGCGGCGUGCCUAAUACAUGCAAGUCGAACGGAAAGGGCCGAGCUUGGUGUUGUGCUUGAGUGGCGAACGGGUGAGUAACACGUGAGUAACCUGCCUGGUAGCGGGGGAUAACUAUAGGAAACGGUGGCUAAUACCGCAUAGCAACUCCUACUGCAUGGUGAGUGUUGGAAAGUGUCGGCUGCUGCGGUUGGAGUUGGGCCUGCGUCUUCUCAGCUAGGUGGUGGGGUAGUGGAUUGCCUAGGCGGUGAUGGGUAGCCGGCCUGAGAGGGUGACCGGCCACAUUGGGACUGAGAUACGGCCCAGACUCCUACGGGAGGCAGCAGUGGGGAAUAUUGCACAAUGGGCGGAAGCAUGAUGCAGCAACGCCGCGUGCGGGAUGACGGCCUUCGGGUUGUAAACCGCUUUCGCCUGUGACGAAGCGUGAGUGACGGUAAUGGGUAAAGAAGCACCGGCUAACUACGUG